GGUGGGUGGGGCUUAGGUCCUCAGUCAGCUUGCACUUUAGCCCCUCAUGGUGCCAAGCAGAGGCUGAGGAGAAAGGUCCCACACGGUGGUAGGUAGGUUUUAGUCGGGAAAAAAAGAAUGACUUGGUCAAAAGUGAGAAUGACUUUGACUUGGUCAAAAAAAGAAUGACUUGGUCAAUAAUCUUACAUUCAACAUAAAAGAGUUACAAAUUAGACUUUUGAGUGGUGUCUCCAAGCUUUGGUGGUUCUCUGUAUUUCAGCUUCUCUGCAUUGUAAACACCAUGAGACCAUAGUUCAAUAAUGCUUCAUAUACAGACUAAUAGUUUUUGUCUCAAGGAGUAUUUCAGUUUCUGCUGUUUAAAGUGUGUUUUGUGAAGUUUGUUGCUUGUUUUCUCUAGAACGUUAUUAGCCUGUAUCACAUCUCAGCAACUGAUUUUAAGGAUGCAUCUCCUUCUCUGCUUUCUGGAAAUGGAAUAACUAGUAUUCUACUUCCUCUUAAACCCAUGAGUUUUAUCAUCAGAGAGGGAUGUGUGGUGUGAGCUGCACAACGGUAUCUUCUAAAGGCAAAAAGAUGAGAAUGAACCCAUUUAGAGGAUUCUGUACUGAGAUCCCAGUCCAGAGAGUAGUCAUUAUAAAGUAAAUCUGGAGAAAACCAGUAGGUGUCACCGUCUGAACUGGUGAGUAAAAACUAAGUUUCAUCUGUACUUUGAAAACCACACUUGGAGGCCAUCGUCAUGAGUUUUUGUUGUUUAGGAUUAUGUUAUUCUUAGGGGAUCUGUGUGAAAGCACUUAGGGGUGAGAAGCCAUUUCUUCAUGUAGAUAUAGAUACACAGUGGUAGGGAGAUAGCGUAACAAAAAGUCUACCCGAAAGGUCUAGGCGUGUUCAUAAUUCUGUUUGGAAUUUGAGUUUCAUCCAUGAUGUUAACCAAAGCUGCCAGAUCUUUGGUAUUUGGCACGCUCAUUAACUUCUCUAAGUCUUAGCCUUUUCUUUAAAAUCAGACAAUGGUAGAGCUUACUGACAAACUCAUUGUGCAGCUUAAGUGACACCAGUGUCAAGUUUCCAGUCAGGGCUCAAAGGUUAUCAGUCACUGUGACAUCAACUAUCUGAACAUUAAUCAAUCUCAUGCUAACAUUGCCAUUCCAUUUUAUAUGGAGCUGGGGAUCAAACCCAUGGCUCAUGUGGCUCAUGCUUUCUGGUCAAGCAUUCUGCCAACUUGGAGACCUUUAACUCUGCCAUUUUAAAUGUACACAUGCAAAUAUAUUUACCACUGGAUAGUUGAAUCCUAAUUCCAGCUAUAGGUGACA
rnacentral:lncRNA from 1 species